rnacentral:rRNA from 1 species
GACAGAGGGUGCAAACGUUGUUCGGAAUUACUGGGCGUAAAGCGCGUGUAGGCUGUCUCGAAAGUCGGAUGUGAAAGCCCUGGGCUCAACCUAGGAAGUGCAUUCGAAACUUCGAGACUCGAGUCCUGGAGAGGAUCGCGGAAUUCUCGGUGUAGAGGUGAAAUUCGUAGAUAUCGGGAGGAACACCGGUGGCGAAGGCGGCGACCUGGGUAGAUACUGACGCUGAGGUGCGAAAGCGUGGGGAGCAAACAGG